AAGAAACUUCAUUUCCCAUGAUGCUUUGCAUAGGGAAGCAAGGUGAUGACGUCACCACAACAACCAGCUCAAAAACUAUAAGUUUCAGCGAAAAACGAAACUUAACUUUCUUAUGCCCAGUUCACUGGCUGUAAAGGACGCUCAUUGCUGCUGCUCUGAUCAACGUCAGCCAGCAGGAGGCUGGCUGCUGGAGCAGAUCGUACACAGAACCGCUGAAAGCAGGACUUGGAAACCCAAAAAGCAACUCCAGCUCCAUCAAGCACGCUACCCCCCCUACCUCCAUUGGGUUGACUGUGAUUGUCAGAGCUGAGUCAUCCCAGUUCACAUCAGCCACUUUAGUCGUCUCUGCCAGCCUCAUAUCCUGUUGAUGGGUCACAUGGAUGCGGUAUAUGCCCAGCACCACCACCACCACAAGGGCGGCGAUACACACAACGAUCACCACAGUGGCAGCACUCGGUACACCUGUGAACAUGUGGGAGGCAGAAGAUAGGAGCUGCACAGAGCAGAAACACGGGACCUCUAGAAACAUCUGGCCUUCACCUACCAGAGAUGUGUGAAAUUCUGAAACAUGUAACAGCCCCU